UGAAUGGCUGGAGGUCACAGGACUGGCUCUGCGUGCACCCUGCGGCUGCCCCGGUGCCCGGGGACCGACCCCGUGUCGUCAGGCGUGGCGGCGGCUGCCGUUGCUGGCCGAGGCAGGAUACGUGAGAGGACAGGCAGCUGCCCCGCCCCCGCCCCGGCAACGCCGGGCCACGCCUGGACCCCACACAGACCGCCGGGGCAGGAAAGAGCUCAAGGGCGCCCAGGGCCGACGGUGCUAAGUAGCCAGCGCCGGGCCAGGCCCUGACGCCGGAAACCGGUUCCGGCCAGCGGAGAGGCCGCGGAGCCGGGAAGACAGCGCGGGAGGGCUCGAGCUGGACAGCAGCGACGGCCACGUCUACAGCACAGUAAGCCCGGCUGAGACAUCGGGGAACGGCGGCGCUCCGCCCGGCCCAGGCGCGGGAAACACGGCCACCCCAGCAGCCUCUGCCCCCGUCACCCCCGCGGAGACCCGGGCCCUGGCCGGAGUCUAGGCCCCGUGCUGCCCCCUGGUGGCCGAGUAUAGGCCGACAGCACUCUGGUCCACGUGCUGCCCCCUGGUGGCCCCACUCUGGUCCACUUCCUCCCUGCAGGGCGGGGGCAUCCGCUCCACCACGCCCCCUUCACCCACAGGAUGCGGAGGGUGCCAAGGGGUUUCACAUGCCAAAUCCUCUCCAAAAGGUUGAAGGUUCUUUCUAUUCUUUCCCCCUGGGAUGUUCUUGCGAGCAAGGCUGUUUGGAAUCCAUUGGCUUGCCACUUCUGAACCCAAAGGACUGGUUAGAAAGCCAUGAACCAUGAGCGGAAUACAGACUUCCCUGCGCCCUAGUCGUCCUCCCCCUCUUCGCUGUCCUGAGGAUGGCCACUGCCCUGCUUCAGUGUAGGACCAGGAGACCCGGGGAUAGCACUGUUGCCGUGGCAACCAAAAAGCACAGCUUGAUCCAAGACGAGAUGAAUUUCUCGGACUUUCAUACUUCUCUAAGGAGGGGAUGCCCUAGAGAUGCUAUAAGCAUUCUGCAAAGCACGUGGCACCACUCCUUUCUUCCCUGUAAGGAACGGACCAGCCCAAAUGUCCAUAGAGCAAAACCCAAAGUUGAGAAGCUCGGCCCUAGAAGGGCUCCUGUCACCCCGGCUCCAGUGACACACAGCCUCUAAAGCUUGGUCCAGCUGAAGGAAGACUUGGUGGGCUCAUCUUGAGUCUGUACUGAUAAGCAGACCUAUCAGGUAUGGCCGGAGGAAUGGCUGCCCCUCCACAGACGGCUGUGAUGCACACAAGUAAUCGGCUGCAGCUCUCUCCCUUAGAUGUUGCAUUCUCUCUCUGAGAACUAUUCUCAGCAUCACACCCAGCCUUCUCUUACCAAUUGAUCAAAGUUGACGAGAAGCCUGCGAUGCAGCUGCUCGGCGGCACUGUUGUGCACGGCCUGGCAAGUUUGAACGUCUCAGCUGCUCGGCGGCACUGCUUUAGGAGUGGACUGUGCUGGCGGAAGCAGCUCGCUGGUUGGCAGGGCAUCAGGGCGCAGCUCUUUCUGGUCCUGUCUACAUUCUCUGCUCCUUUGCUAUGCCUUCCCUGUCCAAAACUUCCGAAACUGUGAGCAAAACAAACCUUCCCUCUUUAAGUUGUCUGUUACAGCCACGAGGAAAGAGCCCCAUGUACUAUUUUUGUCUAAAUUCCACUAUUACACCAUCCGUGCAAAACUCAGGGUUUUAGUGUUUUUAAAUAUGUGCAUAUGUUCUGCCCAGUUCACGAACCCCAAAAGACCAGGAAUAACCAGACUCCGCUGUAAAUACAUGAGGUUCUUUUUAUUGUAAAUUACAAGCUGCAGCUUGGUUCCACUCACCCCCACCGCCAAAGCGGUGGGAGCUGAGGGCGGAGUGCCCAGGUUAGUUGGGUGGUUUAAAGAUUCUGGUCCCUCCCAGCAUGCCCAAGGCAGGGGCGAUUCCUGCCUGACAAGCAUCUAUUGGUCAAAAUGCUACAUUUUGAAUUGAUUGGCUAUUGGAAGGUCCCCAUGCCCUUCCCUAGGGGGAAUGGGCCAAUUUCCUAGCAACUGUAUCUCUAGUGGGUGGGGAAAGAAUGCAGUAAGGCGGUCCUUCCCCUCCAGGCAUUCCUGGACUUCUCCACCCACCUAGUUCAGGCCUUAAAUAAUAGCUGCUAAUUUUUAAUCUUUUGGUCUCUCACAUACAUAUACUUCUUUCUUUCUUUUCUUCCUUCUUUUUUCCUUCUUUCCUUCCUGCCUUCUUCCUUUCUUUCUUAAGGAAAAUAAAGUUGAAGUCCCAAGAAAGCUGAAAUCUCAGGCCCUUUUCCAAAAUCUGACUUAUAAUAGAAAGGGAAACUGACUGUGUCAGGGAAUUCUGUCGUUGUGGAGUGUUUGAAAAGGAAAUAUCUGAAGGCAAGAGUAUCCCGUGUGGCCUCUCUAAGGAAGAGACUGCUUGACACGGUUCCUCAGGAACACUCCAGUUUCGCGGUGAGAAGAGACAAACAUGCACAGCUGCAGCCAUCUCUAAGCUCCAUCACUCACCCAGGCCUCGCGCCACAGAGUGCUCGGCAUCCAACUGUCAGGGGACUGUAGGACCUGGAGCUGUGACUGUGCCUGUGCCCAUUCACCUGCGUGUGUUACAGUGCUUACAUGUGCAUGUAUGUAUAUGGUACCACCUACAUGUGUGCACAUGUAUGUGCAGGCAGAGGUUGAUACCAGACAUCUUCUGCUAUUGUUCUUCAUCUUAUCCUUUUGGGGAAAGAGUCUCACACUGAACCCAGAGCUCACAGAUUGGUGCCACAAGAUGACCACUGAGCUCCCAAGAGGCUUCCGUUUCCAGUCCCUCAGCACCAGAGCAGGCUGGCCUCACACUCAGAUCAGCCUGUCUCUACCUCCCGAGUGCUGGGAUUAAAGGCGUGUGUCACCGCCAACCAACUUUGCACUCAGCUUUUGUAUCAAUGAUGGGAUCCAAACUCAGAUCCUCAUGCUCAGAUAGAAGGGAUUUUACUCACCGUCUUCCCACCCCUGGUAAAUACAGCUUAACUGUGCAACAAAAGUCCUCAAAAAAAAAAAAAAAAAAAAAAAAGACAGAAAGAA